rnacentral:rRNA from 1 species
AAAAGGACACAAUUGAGUGGAAGGUAACAUGGAUGGAGACAAGAAAAGCUGUGUGUAUCUGGAAGGAGCCCGUACCGCAAACCGACACAGGUAGAUAGGAAGAAGAUUCUAAGGCCAGCGGGAGAAGGGUUGUUAAGGAACUCGGCAAGUUGACCCCGUAACUUCGGGAGAAGGGGUGCUUACGAAGGUAAGCCGCAGAGAAUAGGCCCAAGCGACUGUUUAGCAAAAACACAGCUCUAUGCUAAAUCGAAAGAUGACGUAUAUGGGGUGACACCUGCCCGGUGCUGGAAGGUUAAGAGGAGAUGUGAGAGCAUUGAAUUGAAGCCCCAGUAAACGGCGGCCGUAACAAUAACGGUCCUAAGGUAGCGAAAUUCCUUGUCAGGUAAGUUCUGACCCGCACGAAUGGUGUAACGAUUUGGGCACUGUCUCAACAACCUACCCGGCGAAAUUGUAGUACCGGUGAAGAUGCCGGUUACCCGCGACUAGACGGAAAGACCCCAUGGAGCUUCACUGUAGCUUAAUAUUGAAUUUUGGUAUUUCAUGUACAGGAUAGGUGGGAGACUGGGAAAUACGGGCGUCAGCUUGUAUGGAGUCACUGUUGGGAUACCACUCUUGAGGUGCUGAAAUUCUAACCUGCGUCUUUGAAUCAAGACGGGGGACAUUGUUAGGUGGGCAGUUUGACUGGGGCGGUCGCCUCCAAAAGAGUAACGGAGGCGCUCAAAGGUUCGCUCAGCAUGGACGGAAACCAUGCCAAAGAGUGCAAACGCAAAAGCGAGCCUAACUGCGAGACUGACGGGUCGAGCAGUAACGAAAGUUGGAGUUAGUGAUCCGGCGGUAUGUGAGUGGAAAAGCCGUCGCUCAACGGAUAAAAGCUACCCUGGGGAUAACAGGCUGAUCUCCCCCAAGAGUCCUCAUCGACGGGGAGGUUUGGCACCUCGAUGUCGGCUCAUCGCAUCCUGGGGCUGAAUUCGGUCCCAAGGGUUUGGCUGUUCGCCAAUUAAAGCGGUACGCGAGCUGGGUUCAGAACGUCGUGAGACAGUUCGGUCCCUAUCUGUCGUGGGCGUAGGAUAUUUGAAAGGAGCUGUCCCUAGUACGAGAGGACCGGGAUGGACGCACCUCUGGUGAACCAGUUGUCACGCCAGUGGCACGGCUGGGCAGCUAAGUGCGGAACGGAUAAACGCUGAAAGCAUCUAAGCGUGAAGCCGACCUUAAGAUAAGAUAUCCGUUCUUCGGAAUAAGACCCCUUGUAGACUACGAGGUUGAUAGGCUUAAAGUGUAAGCAUGGUGACAUGUUUAGCUUGCAAGUACUAAUCGGUCGAUUGCUUUUCCAG